GUGUCAGCCGCCGCGGUAAUACGUAGGUGGCAAGCGUUGUCCGGAAUUACUGGGUGUAAAGGGCGUGUAGGUGGGAGAUUAAGUCAGAUGUGAAAGCCCGCAGCUUAACUGCGGUACUGCAUCUGAAACUAGUCUUCUUGAGUGCUGGAGAGGAAAGCGGAAUUCCUAGUGUAGCGGUGAAAUGCGUAGAUAUUAGGAGGAACACCAGUGGCGAAGGCGGCUUUCUGGACAGUAACUGACACUGAGGCGCGAAAGCGUGGGGAGCAAACAGGAUUAGAUACCCUGGUAGUCCACGCCGUAAACGAUGGAUACUAGGUGUAGGAGGUAUCGACCCCUUCUGUGCCGGAGUUAACACAAUAAGUAUCCCACCUGGGGAGUACGGCCGCAAGGUUGAA
rnacentral:rRNA from 1 species